rnacentral:rRNA from 1 species
GACGAACGCUGGCGGCGUGCCUAAUACAUGCAAGUCGAGCGCAGUGGGGACGGGUGAGUAACACGUGGGUAACCUCCCAUCAGAGGGGAUAACACUUGGAAACAGGUGCUAAACCGAUACUGAUGGAUGGACCAGCGGUGCAUUAGCUAGUUGGUGAGGUAACGGCUAACCAAGGCCAUGAUGCAUAGCCGAUCUGAGUGGUGGUUCGGCCGCCUUGGAACUGAUCCACGGCCCAGACUCCUACGAGAGGCAGCAGUAGGGAAUCUGCGUCAAUGGACGAAAGUCUGACCGAGCAACGCCGCGUGAGUGAAGAAGGUGUUCGGAUCGUAAACCUCUGUUGUUAGAUAAGCGGUAUCUAACCAGAAAGCCACUGCUAACUACGUGCCAGCAGCCGCGGUAAUAC